rnacentral:rRNA from 1 species
AUUGAACGCUGGCGGCAUGCUUUACACAUGCAAGUCGAACGGCAGCGCGGGCUUCGGCCUGGCGGCGAGUGGCGAACGGGUGAGUAAUGCAUCGGAACGUGCCCAGUAGUGGGGGAUAGCCCGGCGAAAGCCGGCUUAAUACCGCAUACGACCUGAGGGUGAAAGCGGGGGACCGAAAGGCCUCGCGCUAUUGGAUCGGCCGAUGUCGGAUUAGCUAGUUGGUGGGGUAAAGGCUUACCAAGGCGACGAUCCGUAGCUGGUCUGAGAGGACGACCAGCCACACUGGGACUGAGACACGGCCCAGACUCCUACGGGAGGCAGCAGUGGGGAAUUUUGGACAAUGGGGGCAAGCCUGAUCCAGCCAUGCCGCGUGCGGGAAGAAGGCCUUCGGGUUGUAAACCGCUUUUGUUCGGGAAGAAAUCCUCUGGGCUAAUACCCCGGGGGGAUGACGGUACCGGAAGAAUAAGCACCGGCUAACUACGUG